rnacentral:ncRNA from 1 species
AUAAAAGCAAUGAAAGAGAAAAGUAAGCUGGCUUUAAGCUUUUCAGGGAGGAAGUGUCAUCGACUGAAAGCACUUCCAAAGCUAUGUUGGCCGAAGUUCGCUCUUGAGCUGUAGGUUGAACCCAGUUGUCUGGAUAGUAGGCCGUACCGGAGACUUCUACCGUUAAAAGGAAGAGGGUAUCGGAUGAAUUCCUGUACCUUUGUCAAGAUGGCCUUUAUUGAGGCCAACUAGGGUGGUACCGCGAAAGUAUAUACUUCUCGCCCCUAAGAGGGUGGAGAAGUAUUUUUAUUUGGUGGUAUAUAUGACAAAGGAUGGUUGGAAUAAGUAAAUCCCGUACCUUGUUGAGAGGAAUAAACUUGUUGUUUAUUCAAUUAGGGUGGUAUCGCGGAAGUCUGUAGCUUUCGUCCCUUUA